CAGCUCUGAAAACAGGCUGCCUUUACAGAUGGCUUGGGAAUUUGUUGAAGACUCAUUUUAAUUUGAAAAUUCUGGUGUGUGAGAAGAGCUCACUUUCUGCAUACUUCUGCUGAAAAACAAAUCCCAGAAAAUCACCUGCUUUUCCCAUAAAAACUAUCAAAACAGGAGCCAUCACCAUCUAUAAGCUCAUUUGGAAAUAGCUCCAGAGCCAGGAUUUGCAAUUUCUUCUUCUGGGGAGCCUCUAUUCCACCUCUGAGAGCAGUCAGAGGAGGGUGAAGGGCAUCAGGGAGCAAGGAGAGUGGCACUGCAGGGGUGAAGGGAGGCGACAUGCACAAGUAAUCAGAUGGCACUGCAGCCACCAGGGGUCCUUGGUUGGGAGACACAGAGAGAAGAGAUGGACAUGAGAGACCCUCCAACCUGCUUUAAACUGAAAGAGGAACAAGAUGCUGCUCCUAUAACUUCUGCAGUUGUGGUGCUAUGGUUUCAGAUUCAUCUCCACAUUUUGAAUUUCAAGUGGAUUCACAGAAAUACAAGAGAGACUUCAAAGCUGGUCCCCUCCAAAGCAGCUUGGAGACGGCAGAUACCAAAAUGUGAGCUGGACUCUGAGUGAUCUUGGACUGAUCUGAGACCUCCACCCAGGUAGCUCUGCAGUCUACAGAGCAGAAAUUGAG
rnacentral:lncRNA from 1 species